rnacentral:tRNA from 1 species
UUAAUUGAAGCCAAAAUAGAGGCAAUCUAUUGUUAAUAGAAAAAUUGACUAAUAUCCAAUUAAU